rnacentral:lncRNA from 1 species
AGAGAGAGAAAGAGAGGAAGAACAAAGGGAAAAACAAGAAAACCUAGGUGGAAAAUUUAAAGAAAAAGUGAAGAAAUCAAGGAAACAAGCAAGGUAAGUUAGAAUUUCUUUAGUUCUCCUUGAUACCUAGCUUACCCAUGCUUUUGUUCUUGAUUUCCAUGGUUGAAUAUUGAGUUAUUAUGAUGAAUUUAAUUCUGAAAAAAUGGGUUAGGAGAGAGAAACUUGUUAGAUUAAUUUAAUUUUAAGUUAUGUUAGUGUUUUAAGUUAGUUUAGCAUAUUUAGAAACAAAACAACAAGAAAAGAACUUAUUUUCUCCCACAAUCAUUAAUGGCCGAAUUUAUUAUGUGUUGAGUGAGGAUAAAUUUGAUUUUCAUUUUAGGAGAAUUGGUUAAGAAAUGAUGAAUUAUGAGCCUAGAAAAAAUAAUGGAAAUUUUCGGAGCAAAAAAUACGAUUUUUACCCACUAGGGGUAUUUUCGUAAUUUACUAUCGAGACUGAUAAAUUGAAUCUCAUUCACAGUCAUUAAGGUAAUUUAGUUAUAAUUGGAGUGUAGAAAGUGAGAAGAAUUGAUUUGGAGUUAAAUUGGAGAUAAUAGGCCGAAUUAGGUCAACACCGCAUUUAAGCGGUAGUCGGAUAAGUUGUAUAUCAUAUCAUGCAUAUAUACCGAGCCUGAAUUGAUUUUAUAAUGGUCAAGCAUUGAUGUGGUGAAUUAUGUAUUGUACAUUGUGGAUAGGUGGUGAGCAAAGUACACUGGUAAAAGUACAGAGAUUGUGCUUGGAGACUGGGAUUAGGAGUACAUCGACUCCUAGAACUGUGAGUGAACUUAUUAUCGUCUUAAUUAUCUAGAGUAGUUUUAUACAAUUGUGUGAUUUUAUGAAAAAUGGGUUUAAAU